AGAUUCACUCGCACUUUUUCCCUAAUCGUUCAUUCAUUCAUUCUCGAUUGUUACAGUGCGUGAUUCAGAUAUAUAAAAACGAAAAUUAUUAAAAAUAAACACAAACCAUACCCUAAUCUAAUCUAAUACAUCGAAAUCAUGGGACACGGUGCUGAAAAAGGAAGGCCCUUCAAAAAGUUCAAAGCCGCUGCUAAAUUCGAAGAUUCCAAAAAAGGAUUCGCCGAUGAUGAUGAUGAUGCUUAUGGCGGCGAUGAUGCUUACGAUGAUGACGAAGGAAAAACAAAGGAUUUUAGCAAAUUAGAAUUGAAACCGGAUCACACAAAUCGUCCUCUCUGGGCUUGUGACAAUGGCCGCAUUUUCCUUGAGACUUUCUCUCCUUUGUACAAACAAGCUUAUGAUUUUCUCAUUGCCAUCGCCGAGCCCGUUUGCAGGCCGGAGUCGAUGCACGAAUACAAUCUUACACCGCAUUCGCUGUAUGCUGCGGUUUCGGUUGGUCUAGAAACUGAAACAAUUAUAGCAGUUUUGAAUAAGUUGUCUAAGACCAAGCUUCCUAAAGAGAUGAUUAGGUUUAUCCAUGAUUCUACUGCAAAUUAUGGGAAAGUCAAACUCGUUCUUAAGAAGAAUCGUUACUAUGUGGAAUCUCCAUUUCCAGAGGUAUUGAAGACAUUGCUCAGGGAUGAUGCUAUAUCGAGAGCAAGGAUCACUUCUGAGGGUACUCAUGGAGAUGGAUUUACAAUCAGCAAAGCACUAGGUGAGAUCGAAGGCACUCAUGACGAGUUGCUAAAUCAAGCAGAAGUAGCGGCUGUUGCAGAAGAGAAAGAAGCUCAUGCAUUCGAAAUUGAUCCGUCUCAGGUUGAAAAUGUAAAGCAACGUUGUUUGCCAAAUGCCUUAAAUUAUCCCAUGUUGGAGGAGUAUGACUUCAGAAAUGAUACAGUGAACCCGGACCUCGAGAUGGAACUAAAGCCCCAAGCACAACCAAGGCCAUAUCAAGAGAAGAGCCUUAGUAAAAUGUUUGGAAAUGGUAGAGCAAGAUCCGGUAUCAUAGUUCUACCUUGUGGUGCCGGAAAGUCCCUAGUUGGUGUUUCAGCAGCUUCCCGGAUAAAAAAGAGCUGUCUUUGUUUGGCAACAAAUGCUGUCUCUGUGGAUCAGUGGGCUUUUCAGUUUAAACUAUGGUCAACUAUCCGAGAUGAACAAAUAUGUCGUUUCACAUCUGACAGCAAAGAGAGAUUCCGUGGUAACGCUGGAGUUGUUGUGACAACAUAUAAUAUGGUUGCCUUUGGGGGUAAACGGUCUGAAGAAUCUGAAAAGAUCAUUGAAGAAAUAAGAAACAGAGAAUGGGGAUUGCUGCUUAUGGACGAGGUGCAUGUGGUUCCUGCCCAUAUGUUUCGAAAAGUCAUUAGCAUCACUAAAUCUCACUGCAAACUUGGGCUCACAGCUACACUUGUGAGAGAGGAUGAACGUAUUACAGAUCUGAAUUUCCUAAUUGGUCCCAAACUGUAUGAGGCAAAUUGGUUGGAUCUUGUAAAAGGUGGAUUUAUUGCAAAUGUACAGUGUGCUGAAGUAUGGUGUCCAAUGACAAAAGAAUUUUUCGCUGAGUAUCUAAAGAAAGAGAACUCCAAGAAGAGACAGGCCCUUUAUGUGAUGAAUCCCAAUAAAUUCCGAGCAUGUGAGUUUCUCAUAAAUUACCAUGAAAGGGCACGUGGUGAUAAAAUUAUAGUGUUUGCUGAUAAUCUUUUUGCUCUCACCGAGUAUGCCAUGAAACUCCGCAAACCAAUGAUAUAUGGUGCUACAAGCCAUGUUGAGAGGACAAAAAUUCUACAGGCAUUCAAAACCAGCAAAGACGUAAAUACUGUUUUUCUUUCCAAGGUCGGUGACAACUCAAUCGAUAUUCCUGAAGCAAAUGUUAUAAUUCAGAUCUCUUCACAUGCUGGUUCAAGGCGUCAAGAAGCACAGCGUCUGGGUCGUAUUCUUAGGGCAAAGUGGGCUCUCUUGCUGAUUCAAAUUCAUGAAUUAAAUGGCAGGGAAAGCUUCAGGAUAGGAUGGCUGGUGGCAAAGAGGAAUAUAAUGCAUUUUUUUAUUCCCUUGUGUCGACCGAUACCCAGGAGAUGUAUUACUCAACUAAGAGGCAGCAAUUUUUAAUUGAUCAGGGUUACAGCUUUAAGGUAAUUACAAGCUUGCCUCCAUCUGAUGAAGGAUCUCGCUUGCACUAUCAUCAUCUCGAUGAUCAACUGGCACUACUCGGAAAGGUAUUGAAUGCUGGUGAUGAUGCAGUUGGAUUAGAGCAACUAGAAGAUGAUGCAGAUGAAUUAGCUCUUAAAAGUGCUCGUCGUUCUCAAGGAUCGAUGAGUGCAAUGUCAGGUGCAAAAGGGAUGGUUUAUAUGGAGUACAGUACCGGGCGUAACAAAGGCCAACAGAUCAAGAGCAAGCCGAAAGAUCCAGCAAAGAGACACCACUUAUUUAGAAAACGAUUUGGCUCAACCUAAACCCUCACGUGUGAUUAAAAAGGAACCAUGCAGCGGCGUCUGUGUAAUAUACUGUAUCUGUAUGACAAUAAUCAAGAACGCAGGACUGAAAUUAAAAUCUUGCACAACCUCCACAUAAGUUGCAUAAUUACAUUAACUAUGGAUUGUAUCAGUCUUAUACUCAAAUAUAUCCUGGUGACCACACCACGCAUGGUUGAUGUUUGAUUUCUUUUUGUUUUCCAUAUUUUAGUCAAGUUUUAUUGGUAAUAUCAAAGAUACAAGACAUUUUAGUUUCAUGUAGUACCACGAAUAUACAGUACAAGUGAAAGAUUAUUAUGAUGAUGCAAGUUUUGUGUUUUAGA